rnacentral:rRNA from 1 species
UACGUAGGGUGCAAGCGUUUGUCCGGAAUUAUUGGGCGUAAAGAGCUCGUAGGCGGUCUGUUGCGUCGGCUGUGAAAACCCGGGCUCAACUCCGGGCCUGCAGCCGAUACGGGCAGACUAGAGUUCGGCAGGGGAGACUGGAAUUCCUGGUGUAGCGGUGAAAUGCGCAGAUAUCAGGAAGAACACCAAUGGCGAAAGCAGCUCUCUGGGACGGUACUGACGCUGAGACGCGAAAGCGUGGGGAGCGAACAGG